CCUACGGGGGGCAGCAGUGGGGAAUAUUGGACAAUGGGCGAAAGCCUGAUCCAGCCAUGCCGCGUGUGUGAAGAAGGCCUUCGGGUUGUAAAGCACUUUCAGUGGGGAAGAAAGCCUUGGGGCUAAUACCCUCGAGGAAGGACAUCACCCACAGAAGAAGCACCGGCUAACUCCGUGCCAGCAGCCGCGGUAAUACGGAGGGUGCGAGCGUUAAUCGGAAUUACUGGGCGUAAAGCGCGCGUAGGCGGUCUGAUAAGCCGGUUGUGAAAGCCCCGGGCUCAACCUGGGAACGGCAUCCGGAACUGUCAGGCUAGAGUGCAGGAGAGGAAGGUAGAAUUCCCGGUGUAGCGGUGAAAUGCGUAGAGAUCGGGAGGAAUACCAGUGGCGAAGGCGGCCUUCUGGACUGACACUGACGCUGAGGUGCGAAAGCGUGGGUAGCAACAGGAUUAGAUACCCUGGUAGUC
rnacentral:rRNA from 1 species